UGGGGAAUUUUGGACAAUGGGCGCAAGCCUGAUCCAGCAAUGCCGCGUGAGUGAAGAAGGCCUUCGGGUUGUAAAGCUCUUUCAGGUGGAAAGAAAACGCAUAGGUUAAUACCUUGUGCGGAUGACGGUACCAUCAGAAGAAGCACCGGCUAACUACGUGCCAGCAGCCGCGGUAAUACGUAGGGUGCGAGCGUUAAUCGGAAUUACUGGGCGUAAAGCGUGCGCAGGCGGUUAUGUAAGACAGAUGUGAAAUCCCCGGGCUUAACCUGGGAACUGCGAUUGUGACUGCAAGGCUAGAGUGUGUCAGAGGGGGGUGGAAUUCCACGUGUAGCAGUGAAAUGCGUAGAGAUGUGGAGGAACACCGAUUGCGAAGGCAGCUUACUAUGGUUUUAUUGACGCUGAGGCACGAAAGCGUGGGGAUCAAACA
rnacentral:rRNA from 1 species